ACUGGGGUGGCAGAGCGUGGCAAUUGCGAAAGGCCUAAGCCCUUUUUACCAGAGGUUCAAAUCCUCUCCCCAGUU
rnacentral:tRNA from 1 species